CGGCGGACGGGUGAGUAACACGUGGGUAACCUACCUAUAAGACUGGGACAACUUCAGGAAACCGGAGCUAAUACCGGAUAAGAUAUCGAACCGCAUGGUUCGAUAGUGAAAGANGGUUUUGCUAUCACUUAUAGAUGGACCCGCGCCGUAUUAGCUAGUUGGUGAGGUAACGGCUCACCAAGGCAACGAUACGUAGCCGACCUGAGAGGGUGAUCGGCCACACUGGAACUGAGACACGGUCCAGACUCCUACGGGAGGCAGCAGCC
rnacentral:rRNA from 1 species